UUGAACGCUGGCGGCAUGCUUUACACAUGCAAGUCGGACGGCAGCACAGAGAAGCUUGCUUCUUGGGUGGCGAGUGGCGAACGGGUGAGUAACAUAUCGGAACGUACCGAGCAGUGGGGGAUAACUAAUCGAAAGAUUAGCUAAUACCGCAUAUUUUCUGAGGAAGAAAGCAGGGGACCUUUGGGCCUUGCGCUGUUUGAGCGGCCGAUAUCUGAUUAGCUAGUUGGUGGGGUAAAGGCCUACCAAGGCGACGAUCAGUAGCGGGUCUGAGAGGAUGAUCCGCCACACUGGGACUGAGACACGGCCCAGACUCCUACGGGAGGCAGCAGUGGGGAAUUUUGGACAAUGGGCGCAAGCCUGAUCCAGCCAUGCCGCGUGUCUGAAGAAGGCCUUCGGGUUGUAAAGGACUUUUGUCAGGGAAGAAAAGGGCGGGGUUAAUACCCCUGUCUGAUGACGGUACCUGAAGAAUAAGCACCGGCUAACUACGUG
rnacentral:rRNA from 1 species